rnacentral:rRNA from 1 species
CAGCCGCCGCGGUAAUACGUAGGUGGCAAGCGUUGUCCGGAAUUAUUGGGCGUAAAGGGCUCGCAGGCGGUUUCUUAAGUCUGAUGUGAGAGCCCCCGGCUCAACCGGGGAGGGUCAUUGGAAACUGGGAAACUUGAGUGCAGAAGAGGAGAGUGGAAUUCCACGUGUAGCGGUGAAAUGCGUAGAGAUGUGGAGGAACACCAGUGGCGAAGGCGACUCUCUGGUCUGUAACUGACGCUGAGGAGCGAAAGCGUGGGGAGCGAGCAGGAUUAGAUACCCCCGUAGUCCCUGUCUCUUAUAC